AUGUUGGAUCAGGAUUGCACUGUUGCAUCCUGGGCUGCAAGUAACUAUGAGAUUGGCUUCAGACGCAGAUUGGUUGGGACGUUGGGCGAUCAAUGGGCUUGGAUGGUCAUGGAAGCUAAAAAGUUGACGUUGAAUGAGUCUCCAGAUAAGAUUUCAUGGUCCCUUGGUGGUAAAGGAAAAUUUACUACUAAAUCCUUAUACGAGUGGCUGGAAAGAAAUCUAUCAGGUCCUAACUAUAAAAUGGUGUGGAAACCACCCAUCCCGCUGAAGAUUAAGAUCUUCCUUUGGCAAUUUUUUCAAAAUUCAUCCUUACCCGUGAUAACAUGCGUGCCAGGAAUUGGCCUGGAAAUCCCAUAUGUUCCUAAUGUUGAAACGGCAAACCACUUGUUUUUUUCCUGCUUGCUCGCUCGUUCUGUUUGGGGGACGCUGGGCAUGACGGCCGGGGCAUCUUGCUGCCCUCGCUCCCUUUGGCAAAGUUUUUCCUGA
rnacentral:rRNA from 1 species